UAGCUCAGUUGGUAAAGAAUCUGCCUGCAGUGCAGGAGACCCAGGUUUGAUUCCUGG
rfam:Ovis aries breed Texel chromosome 3, whole genome shotgun sequence.